UACGUAGGGGGCAAGCGUUAUCCGGAUUUACUGGGUGUAAAGGGAGCGUAGACGGCUAGGUAAGUCUGAUGUGAAAGCCCGGGGCUCAACCCCGGGUCUGCAUUGGAAACUAUCUAGCUAGAGUGCAGGAGAGGUAAGUGGAAUUCCUAGUGUAGCGGUGAAAUGCGUAGAUAUUAGGAGGAACACCAGUGGCGAAGGCGGCUUACUGGACUGUAACUGACGUUGAGGCUCGAAAGCGUGGGGAGCAAACAGG
rnacentral:rRNA from 1 species